UAAAUGUGAUUUUUUUUAAAGAAAACAAUGCCAAUCAUAAAGGUUGCAUGUGUGAUUUUGGUGAUGUUCAUGGUUGUUAAACCUAACCUAAGGUUGAAGCUCAAAUCUUAUGUGAUUUUGUAGCUGAAGCUCAAAUCUUGGUCCAUGUAUUGAUUUUCUUGCAGGUGCUGAUGAACCUAUGCAACAAUGUUGUGAUGCAGUUAUCACAAUUGAUGCUGAAGCCACUACUGCCCUUGAUCGUAAGGAUACGUAGGUGCUUGAGAGAAUUUGCUAGGAGUAUUUUAUUUAUUUGAUGAGAAGAAUGGUGCUGCACUCUUUGCCAAAUGUGGUGCUGUCACUCCCUACAAGAUUAGUCCCUCUGCCGAUUGUGAUAAUAUCAAGGUGGAAAAAGUUGGAACGGAUGAAGGAUUCUUGAAUAUUCUCACUACUAUGUGAAAGUGAUAUAAAAGAAUGAGUGAUGGAGGCUCAUCUUAUAUGUGAUCUGUCCUAGAUACCCUCUUACUUUAAUAUGAGUUUAUGAAUAUUCAUCAUGUUAUCGACUAAAAAGAAUAAACAUGUUUUAUUCUUUCCCAUAAAUAAAGAAAAUAGUGAAAAGAGUAAGAAGAUUAUUUUUGUCCGGUCUAUCCAUUGGAAAGAGAAGAAAAAUAUUGAAUACUCCUUCUACAAUGAAAGUUUUAACAUUGUAAUAUAUGAAGAUGUUGGUAAUGUGUUAAGGAGAUGUUGAAUAAUCCAAUGGUAUUUUCAAGGCUGCUAA